GCCCGGGUGGCUCAGUUGGUUGAGCGUCCGACUUCGGCUCAGGUCAUGAUCUCAUGGUCCGUGGGUUGGAGCCCCGCGUCGGGCU
rfam:Felis catus isolate Cinnamon breed Abyssinian chromosome B4, whole genome shotgun sequence.